UACGAAGGGUGCUAGCGUUGUUCGGAAUCACUGGGCGUAAAGCGUGCGUAGGCGGCUUUGCAAGCCAGAGGUGAAAGCCUGGAGCUUAACUCCAGAAUUGCCUUUGGAACUGCAUGGCUAGAGUGUCGGAGGGGAUAGCGGAAUUGCUAAUGUAGAGGUGAAAUUCGUAGAUAUUAGCAGGAACACCGGUGGCGAAGGCGGCUAUCUGGACGACAACUGACGCUGAGGCACGAAAGCGUGGGGAUCAAACAGG
rnacentral:rRNA from 1 species